rnacentral:rRNA from 1 species
GAUGAACGCUGGCGGCGUGCCUAAUACAUGCCAGUCGAGCGAACAGACGAGGAGCUUGCUCCUCUGACGUUAGCGGCGGACGGGUGAGUAACACGUGGAUAACCUACCUAUAAGACUGGGAUAACUUCGGGAAACCGGAGCUAAUACCGGAUAAUAUAUUGAACCGCAUGGUUCAAUAGUGAAAGACGGUUUUGCUGUCACUUAUAGAUGGAUCCGCGCCGCAUUAGCUAGUUGGUAAGGUAACGGCUUACCAAGGCAACGAUGCGUAGCCGACCUGAGAGGGUGAUCGGCCACACUGGAACUGAGACACGGUCCAGACUCCUACGGGAGGCAGCAGUAGGGAAUCUUCCGCAAUGGGCGAAAGCUUGACGGAGCAACGCCGCGUGAGUGAUGAAGGUCUUCGGAUCGUAAAACUCUGUUAUUAGGGAAGAACAAACGUGUAAGUAACUAUGCACGUCUUGACGGUACCUAAUCAGAAAGCCACGGCUAACUACGUG